CCUACGGGGGGCAGCAGUGAGGAAUAUUGGUCAAUGGACGAGAGUCUGAACCAGCCAAGUAGCGUGAAGGAUGACUGCCCUAUGGGUUGUAAACUUCUUUUAUAUGGGAAUAAAAUGUUCCACGUGUGGGAUUUUGUAUGUACCUUAUGAAUAAGGAUCGGCUAACUCCGUGCCAGCAGCCGCGGUAAUACGGAGGAUCCGAGCGUUAUCCGGAUUUAUUGGGUUUAAAGGGAGCGUAGGUGGAUUGUUAAGUCAGUUGUGAAAGUUUGCGGCUCAACCGUAAAAUUGCAGUUGAGACUGGCAGUCUUGAGUACAGUAGAGGUGGGCGGAAUUCGUGGUGUAGCGGUGAAAUGCUUAGAUAUCACGAAGAACUCCGAUUGCGAAGGCAGUUCACUGGACUGCAACUGACACUGAGGCUCGAAAGUGUGGGUAUCAAACAGGAUUAGAUACCCUUGUAGUC
rnacentral:rRNA from 1 species